UACGUAGGGGGCAAGCGUUGUCCGGAUUUAUUGGGCGUAAAGAGCGUGUAGGCGGCCAGGGAGGUCCGUUGUGAAAACUCGAGGCUCAACCUCGAGACGCCCGAUGGAAACCCCCUGGCUAGAGUCCGGAAGAGGAGAGUGGAAUUCCUGGUGUAGCGGUGAAAUGCGCAGAUAUCAGGAAGAACACCCGUGGCUAAGGCGGCUCUCUAGUACGGUACUGACGCUGAGACGCGAAAGCGUGGGGAGCGAACAGG
rnacentral:rRNA from 1 species